GCCGCGAUGUUGGAAUUGGUAGACAAGAAAGACUUAAAAUCUUUUGCCCAGUGAUGGGCGUGCCGGUUCGACCCCGGCUCGCGGUA
rnacentral:tRNA from 1 species